rfam:Danio rerio chromosome 21 genomic contig CTG2050, GRCz11 reference primary assembly.
UGCCACAGCCAUGUCACCCUGCAGCCCAAGACCGGUUACUCACUGAAGCUAAGCAGGGCUGAGCCUGGUCAGUACCUGGAUGGGAGACCACUAGGGAACACUAGGUUGCUGUUAGUGA